CAGUCGCCGCGGUAAUACGUAGGGUGCGAGCGUUAAUCGGAAUUACUGGGCGUAAAGCGUGCGCAGGCGGUUUGUUAAGACAGAUGUGAAAUCCCCGGGCUCAACCUGGGAACUGCAUUUGUGACUGGCAAGCUAGAGUGUGGCAGAGGGGGGUGGAAUUCCGCGUGUAGCAGUGAAAUGCGUAGAUAUGCGGAGGAACACCGAUGGCGAAGGCAGCCCCCUGGGACAACACUGACGCUGAGGUGCGAAAGCGUGGGGAGCAAACAGGAUUAGAUACCCGGGUAGUCCCUGUCUCUUAUAC
rnacentral:rRNA from 1 species